UACGAAGGGGGCUAGCGUUGCUCGGAAUCACUGGGCGUAAAGCGCACGUAGGCGGCUUUUUAAGUCAGGGGUGAAAUCCUGGAGCUCAACUCCAGAACUGCCUUUGAUACUGAGAGCUUGAGUCCGGGAGAGGUGAGUGGAACUGCGAGUGUAGAGGUGAAAUUCGUAGAUAUUCGCAAGAACACCAGUGGCGAAGGCGGCUCACUGGCCCGGUACUGACGCUGAGGUGCGAAAGCGUGGGAGCAAC
rnacentral:rRNA from 1 species